GAAGAACGCUGGCGGCGUGCCUAAUACAUGCAAGUCGAGCGAACAGAUAAGGAGCUUGCUCCUUUGACGUUAGCGGCGGACGGGUGAGUAACACGUGGGUAACCUACCUAUAAGACUGGAAUAACUCCGGGAAACCGGGGCUAAUGCCGGAUAACAUUUAGAACCGCAUGGUUCUAAAGUGAAAGAUGGUUUUGCUAUCACUUAUAGAUGGACCCGCGCCGUAUUAGCUAGUUGGUAAGGUAACGGCUUACCAAGGCAACGAUACGUAGCCGACCUGAGAGGGUGAUCGGCCACACUGGAACUGAGACACGGUCCAGACUCCUACGGGAGGCAGCAGUAGGGAAUCUUCCGCAAUGGGCGAAAGCCUGACGGAGCAACGCCGCGUGAGUGAUGAAGGUCUUCGGAUCGUAAAACUCUGUUAUUAGGGAAGAACAAAUGUGUAAGUAACUGUGCACGUCUUGACGGUACCUAAUCAGAAAGCCACGGCUAACUACGUG
rnacentral:rRNA from 1 species